GAGGUCAGGAGUUCUUGACCAGCCUGACCAACAUGGAGAAACCCUGUCUCUACUAAAAAUACAAAAAUUAGCCAGGUGCAGGACACAGGGAGGGGAACAUCACACACCAGAGCCUGUUGGGGGCUGGGGGACAAGGGGAGUGAGAGCAUUAGAACAAAUACCUAACGCAUCCGGGACUUACAAUCUAGAUGACGGGUUGACAGGUGCAGCAAACCACCAUGGCACAUGUAUACCUAUUGUAUACCUAUGUAACAAACCUGCACGUUCUACACAUGUAUUCCAGAACUUAUCCCAGCACUUGGGGAGGCUGAGGUGGGCAGAUCAUGAGGUCAGGAGAUCGAGACCAUCCUGACCAACAUGGUGAAACCCCGUCUCUACUAAA
rnacentral:lncRNA from 1 species